UGACGGGAAACUACAAACAUACAAAAAAGAGCAAUACACUAAUACUAAAUACUAAAUCACAGGAUCCUCUUGAAGCACAAGAGGAGAGGUCAAGGAAAUGACUUAGUUAAAAGUAUGUCUUGUAACAAAAUAGAGUCAGCAUGAAUACAGACAAUGUGUAUGGUUUAACCCUUCAGUCCCCUCUUUGUUCAAUCUAUUGAUCACAUCUAUAUUCACAUUGUGAAGUCCUGAGGUAUAUUCAGGAUUGAUAGUCAAUCCUGCAGGACUUUAG